rnacentral:rRNA from 1 species
UACGUAGGGGGCAAGCGUUGUCCGGAAUCAUUGGGCGUAAAGAGCGUGUAGGCGGCCCGGUAAGUCCGCUGUGAAAGUCCAGGGCUCAACCCUGGGAUGCCGGUGGAUACUGUCGGGCUCGAGUCCGGAAGAGGAGUGUGGAAUUCCUGGUGUAGCGGUGAAAUGCGCAGAUAUCAGGAGGAACACCGGUGGCGAAGGCGGGUCUCUGGGCCAAAACUGACGCUGAGGAGCGAAAGCGUGGGGAGCGAACAGG